CCCUUAGAUGUUCUGGGCCGCACGCGCGCUACACUGAUACAUGCAACGAGUUUAUAACCUUGAUCUGACGGUCUGGGUAAUCUUCAAACUGUAUCGUGUUAGGGAUCGAUUCUUGCAAUUUUUAAUCGUAAACGAGGAAUUCCUAGUAAACGCAAGUCAUCAGCUUGCAUUGAUUACGUCCCUGCCCUUUGUACACACCGCCCGUCGACUCUACCGAUUGAAUGGUUCGGUGAAAACUUUGGACUGUGGCAUUGUCCUUCAUUGGACUUCGCCGUAGGAAAUUGUUGAAACCUCAUCAUUUAGAGGAAGAAUAAGUCGUAACA
rnacentral:rRNA from 1 species